AGCACCAUAUUUAAACUUGUGGGAGGAAAUAUUCCCCAUUCUUGGUUACGCUGUAGUGCAAAAUAAUUCUGGCUCUUUCUGUUGCACAGCUGACUUUGUCCCAUUCAGCUGUUGCUCUAUAGAGUUAAGGAACGUAA
ensembl:snoRNA